rnacentral:rRNA from 1 species
UACGGGGGGUGCGAGCGUUGUCCGGAAUCACUGGGCGUAAAGGGCGCGUAGGCGGCUUGAUAAGCGUGCGGUGAAAGCCCGGGGCUCAACCCCGGGUCGGCCGUGCGAACUGUCGAGCUGGAGCACUGUAGAGGCAGGUGGAAUUCCGGGUGUAGCGGUGGAAUGCGUAGAGAUCCGGAAGAACACCGGUGGCGAAGGCAGGUCUCUGGGCAUUAACUGACGCUGAGGAGCGAAAGCAUGGGGAGCGAACAGG